CCUACGUGAGGCAGCAGUGGGGAAUAUUGCACAAUGGGGGAAACCCUGAUGCAGCGACGCCGCGUGAGUGAAGAAGUAUUUCGGUAUGUAAAGCUCUAUCAGCAGGGAAGAAAAUGACGGUACCUGAUUAAGAAGCCCCGGCUAACUACGUGCCAGCAGCCGCGGUAAUACGUAGGGGGCAAGCGUUAUCCGGAUUUACUGGGUGUAAAGGGAGCGUAGACGGCAGCGCAAGUCUGAAGUGAAAUGCCGGGGCUUAACCCCGGAACUGCUUUGGAAACUGCCUGGCUGGAGUACAGGAGAGGUAAGUGGAAUUCCUAGUGUAGCGGUGAAAUGCGUAGAUAUUAGGAGGAACACCAGUGGCGAAGGCGGCUUACUGGACUGUAACUGACGUUGAGGCGCGAAAGCGUGGGGAGCAAACAGGAUUAGAUACCCUAGUAGUC
rnacentral:rRNA from 1 species